rnacentral:rRNA from 1 species
UACGGAGGAUGCAAGCGUUAUCCGGAAUGAUUGGGCGUAAAGGGUCCGCAGGUGGCAGUGUAAGUCUGCUGUCAAAGAAUGAGGCUUAACCUCAUCAAGGCAGUGGAAACUACACAGCUAGAGUACGGUCGGGGUAGAAGGAAUUCCUGGUGUUGCGGUGAAAUGCGUAGAGAUCAGGAAGAACACCGGUGGCGAAAGCGUUCUGCUAGACCUGUACUGACACUGAGGGACGAAAGCUAGGGGAGCGAAUGGG